rfam:Ornithorhynchus anatinus chromosome 5, whole genome shotgun sequence.
CCCCUCUCAGAGUCACACCUGGAGAGUUUCCAGUACUCUUCCAGUCUGGUGAGGGAGAGUCAAGCAGAGGCAUAUCCAUUCCAUUGCUAGCUUGGGCAGUGGCUAGUAAAUGGAAGGCAAUCUGCCACAAGU